GCUUCCGAAAGUUCGUGCAUGUCGAUUAGCGCCUUAUUCAAAGAAACAACAUUUGUUUACCACUCGAGAGAAACUGAAACAAGAAAAAACUAUUCUACAACGUUAACAGCGAUGGCAGAGGGUAGCAUGAGACAAGAACACAGAAGUGAACAAUCUGGUCCUCCAUAAUUCUUUGAUGGCCAAACUGAAUAUCAGCUGGAAAAAUGGCAAAAUUUCAUUUGGUGCCUCAAAGUUGUUCACAAUAAUUCUUGAUUGUGUCUCAGAGUCCUUUCCUGAGUCGGUUGAAGCAA